UAAGAUUUAAAGGUGAAUGUGUAAUAUCUUGACUCGAAGACAUGUUUAGUUGGCGGUUGGCAAAUUGAAAGGAAACCAAACUCGACACUAAAAAACAAACGUAAUAUUUUGAAAAAAGGAAUGGUAAAAAUCCGAAUGAUGCAAAUAUGAAUAUCGAAUGAUGCUUGAAGUUCGAGACAGCAGAAAUUGGUUGAACCAGCAUCUUGCAGUUGGCCUACAUUAAGCAUUGUACGCACCCAAAACAAUGGUUGAAACCCGCCAUUUUCGUCCUUUCUAAUUGUUCAAUCUCCACGAAGAACAGAGCAAAGCGGAAACAAAUCAGAUUUCGAACUGUCAUAUUCAAUCUGUUUCGAAUCCCUUACUCUAUUCGUCGAAUUCUGAUUUGAUUCUCAAGCUUUAUAACAGCGUUACGCUUCUCAUUUCAAUGCUUGCUUAUUCACUAAUCUAUUUCGUGCUCUGGUAGACUCGGUUUCUUUCAGUCUGAAUUUAGUAGAGUUCUGAUCUGUAAUUUCUCGUUUUAGUUGUAUGAGAACGCAGGUACACUGCUGUAUUAUGUGCGGGGGCGACAAAGGAUGUAUUGAAUGCUAUUCUUUUUGGCAAAAUAUUGGAAAGUUUGGGACAAGAAGAGGGAAGAGGAGGAGAAAUUGGGCAUGACCUAGAAAGAAUCUGCAGCUGCAGUUGCAGUUGUUACGGAUUAUGGCCUUUAAUUUUUAAGAAAUUUACCGUAACAUUCUUAUAUUGCAGGAAGAAAAAAGUGGCACAGGGGGAUCGGCUAGGCUCAACUUGGCCAGGGUAUUGUUUUCUUGAAGAUCAAAAAGGUUAGAUGUUUUUAUGUUAAUAUUUGAUGAAGGUAGUACUGUGCUGCAAUGGAUAAUGGAUCCCUUUCGAAUUUAAUUUUUUCUGGGUAUUAAGUGAGGAGGUUUGGCAGAUAAGGACAUGCAAAUCCACCAAACACAGCCAAAGGAUGAAUGCAUGUGAUGGGUCCUUUUCUGAUGCUUCGUGUGGGGUUUAGCAUACUCCUUUGUCCUCCUUUUCCAAUCAUACCAUAUGAUUAAACUCCCCCCACAUUGUAGGGUCAUAUUCUCCUGAUUGCUUUUCAGAAAACCACAUGUAUAUGUAAUAAAUGUUAUUACUUUUCUUCUUUUCUUCUUUCUUUUCAGGUUAUCUGUGAUGUGCUGAACAGAUCAUUCUCAGUUUGACCUGUUAUAGCUAAUGUUGAAAGGACUGGUUUGCUGUGAUUCUUGGUAGUGACCAGGUUGUUAAAGAGGAUGGCAUCAUUGCCUGACUAAGCUUUUGGAACGUUCUUCAAUUGGGCUGGAAUUGGUACGGCUUAGACCAUCAAGGUUGUGGUUAACAUAGGAUGGAAUUGCAGUUCCUGCACGAAAAAGAGAAGGAUUUAGAAACUACGGUAAGCGGACGAAUGUGAUAGCAAAAUAUUUGAGCAGCAGAUGCAACUCAUGCUUAUUGGCUACAUCUGCAGACUGAAUAGCAAGGUAAAGAAUAGAACAAAGCCCUAAACAAUGAGUGACACAACGUGUUAUUUGAUCGGCAUCGACAUCGACAUCAACAUCGACCCACCAGUAGUAUAGAAACACUUCUUUGUUUGCAAUGUUUUAUAUUGUGCUUUUGCCUUCAUGGUGAGUUCUAAGUUUAGAUAUAUGUUAUUACAACAACUCUGGAUUCGGGGGUUCAUGAACAUGAACACUCUAAUCAAGUCCAGUGAUGGCCAGCCAACUCUGCGGCGUUUUCCUUGGAACAGACAGAUUAAAACGACGUCGUUUCAGCCCUCCCACACAUCAAUCUACCUAAAUAAUCACUCUUAGCACUCUGCUGUAUAAAUUUUGAAAUAUUUAUAUAUUAUAUUUUUUUUGCAUGAAAAUUAUUAUGAUUAUUUUAUGAAGUGAAGUCAUAGUAGGAAAAGGACAAUGAUGGAGAUGAAGGGAGGCAAGUGAAGUCGGUGAGUGACAGACAACCAAUUCCAGCGGUUUCCAUGAACAGAAGAAGAUCAAAACGACAUGAUGGUGCUGGGAGAGCAGCUUACAUUUCAAUAGAGGACAAAGCAGUACCAUCCCCCGCCUUCCCUUUCACCAAAACUUCCAACAUUUUGCAGUGGCAGCAGAUGGGGGUGAGAGCGAAAGCCAGAGUUCAACUGUCGUUGCCUGACCAAUUGGCUCAGACACCAGACUGCUCAUGCCCACCCCCAUAACCACUCUUGUCACCUGUCGGUGGAGAAUCCACUCUCGAGUUGUCGCUCUAUUGCGUCUAGCCUGUCUUCAAGAUUUUCCUCUACGGGGGCCUUGUGCAAUAAACCCCCUACGAGCGAAUUGUUUAUCGUUGAAAAGUAGUCUCUAUGGGUUCACGCUUAAGUUUGAUUCUAAACAAUUUGAGGCAUAAGCUGGUGAUGCUUUUAGACUCUUCCCAUCUCGUCUUGAACUUUGGAUGGAACUUGAGAUCUUGAAUGAGUGUGGUAGUGACCUAAGAACAAUGAUGCUUUACACUGUUCGAAUCACCGCCACACUGUUCCACCCAACUUUAGUCGAGCAUUUUUAUAGAUUUCUACUCCAAGUCUCAUUUAAAACGACGAUAAUGAAUGUACAAGAUUAAGUUUAAAAGAAUAUGGGUUCAAAAACAAU